rnacentral:lncRNA from 10 species
CACUGCAACUUGGGCCCAGAAAGCCUGCCAAAACCAGGGAUGCUGCUCCAGGUCCUGUUACAUCCACUCUGCAGAAAAGACACAUUCCUCAGUGGAUUGACUGCCCCAGGAGCACAGGGACCUGGCAGUUCUGAAGGGCCGCCUGAGGACCCUAAGCCUCCUUCUGCCCCUCCCUCUUCUUCAAGGCAGCUGGCAACCUCCCUCUCUAUAAAAAAGAAGGGGAAAUGCAUGAACACGUGGAACGUGAUAAAAUACGCUGUUUAUUUCCA